rnacentral:lncRNA from 1 species
CCCCACCAGUCUAGUACAUAACUCAACUCUCUCCCUGACCCCCACCAGUCUAGUACAUAACUCUACUCUCUCCCUGACCCCCACCAGUCUAGUACAUAACUCAACUCUCUCCCUGACCCCCACAUGUAUUUCUACACACCCCAUUUAGCCAUACCCCUAGUUUAGCUGUAUUUCUACACACCCCAUUUAGCCAUACCCUAGGUUUAGCUGUAUUUAUACACACCCCAUUUAGCCAUACCCUAGGUUUAGCUGUAUUUCUACACACCCCAUUUAGCCAUACCCUAGGUUUAGCUGUAUUUCUACACACCCCAUUUAGCCAUACCCUAGGUUUAGCUGUAUUUCUAAGAUUUGGUAUGGGUACUCAGAUCCUCAAAAGGUUCUACAGCUGCACCAUCGAGAGCAUCCUGACGGGUUGCAACACUCCCUGGUAUGGCAACUGCUUGGCCUCUAACCACAAGGCAC